rnacentral:sRNA from 1 species
GCCAGGUGUGGUAGCACACACCUGUAGUCCCAGCUACUUGAGAGGCCAAGGCUGGAGGAUCAAUUUGAGCCCAUGAAUUUAAGACCAGCCUAGGCAACACAGUAUAGCUCCAUCUUAU